rnacentral:rRNA from 1 species
UCCUGGCUCAGAACGAACGCUGGCGGCGUGGAUUAGGCAUGCAAGUCGAACGAGAAAGUCCCUUCGGGGAGCGAGUAAAGUGGCGAAAGGGUGAGUAAUGUAUAGAUAACCUGCCCUUGAGACGGGGAUAGCUCCGGGAAACCGGUGGUAAUACCCGAUGAUAUCGUGUCCAUAAAAGGAUACGAUCAAACGUUAGGCCCUUCGGGGCCCUUCGCUCAUGGAUGGGUCUAUAUCCUAUUAGCUUGUUGGUGCGGUAACGGCGCACCAAGGCGAUGAUGGGUAGCCGGCCUGAGAGGGCGACCGGUCACACUGGGACUGAGACACUGCCCAGACUCCUACGGGAGGCUGCAGUCGAGAAUCUUCCGCAAUGGGCGCAAGCCUGACGGAGCGACGCCGCGUGGAUGAAUGAAGGCCUUCGGGUUGUAAAGUCCUGUCAGAUGGGGAGAAACGCAGGCGGUUAAUAGCCGGCCUGCUUGACAAUCCAUCAAAGGAAGUCACGGCUAAAUUCGUGCCAGCAGCCGCGGUAAUACGAAUGUGGCAAGCGUUGUUCGGAAUCAUUGGGUUUAAAGGGUGCGUAGGCGGUGGAUUAAGUCGGGUGUGAAAUCCCUCAGCUCACCUGGGGAAUGGCGCCCGAUACUGAUUCACUUGAGUACGGAGGAAGAGAGCGGAAUUCUGGGUGUAGCGGUGAAAUGUGCAGAUAUCCAGGAGAAGACCAGUGGCGAAGGCGGCUCUCUAUUUCGAUACUGACGCUGAGGCACGAAAGCCAGGGGAUCGAACGGGAUUAGAUACCCCGGUAGUCCUGGCCCUAAACGAUGAGCACUGGGUGGGGGGGAUCCUGAUGUCUUCUCUGCCGUAGCGAAAGCGUUAAGUGCUCCACCUGGGGAGUACGGUCG